rnacentral:rRNA from 1 species
CGGCGGACGGGUGAGUAACGCGUGGGUAACCUGCCUCAUACAGGGGGAUAACAGUUGGAAACGGCUGCUAAUACCGCAUAAGCGCACAGUACCGCAUGGUACGGUGUGAAAAACUCCGGUGGUGUGAGAUGGACCCGCGUCUGAUUAGCUAGUUGGCGGGGUAACGGCCCACCAAGGCAACGAUCAGUAGCCGACCUGAGAGGGUGACCGGCCACAUUGGGACUGAGACACGGCCCAG